AACGAACGCUGGCGGCAUGCCUAACACAUGCAAGUCGAACGAGACCUUCGGGUCUAGUGGCGCACGGGUGCGUAACGCGUGGGAACCUGCCCUUAGGUUCGGAAUAACUCACCGAAAGGGGUGCUAAUACCGGAUAAUGUCUUCGGACCAAAGAUUUAUCGCCUUUGGAUGGGCCCGCGUUGGAUUAGCUGGUUGGUAGGGUAAAAGCCUACCAAGGCGACGAUCCAUAGCUGGUCUGAGAGGAUGAUCAGCCACACUGGGACUGAGACACGGCCCAGACUCCUACGGGAGGCAGCAGUGGGGAAUAUUGGACAAUGGGCGAAAGCCUGAUCCAGCAAUGCCGCGUGAGUGAUGAAGGCCUUAGGGUUGUAAAGCUCUUUUACCCGGGAUGAUAAUGACAGUACCGGGAGAAGAAGCUCCGGCUAACUCCGUG
rnacentral:rRNA from 1 species